rnacentral:piRNA from 1 species
UAGGCAGAUGUACGCGCACAUGUAUUUUUGC